AAUCAACGCUGGCGGCGUGCCUAACACAUGCAAGUCGAACGCGAAAGCCCCUUCGGGGGCAAGUAGAGUGGCGUCCGGGUGAGUAACACGUGGGUAAUCUACCUCCGGGUGGGGAAUAACUCGCCGAAAGGCGGGCUAAUACCGCAUAAUGCAGCGGCACCGAAUGGUGAUUAGUUGUUAAAGCGGGGGACCUUAGGGCCUCGCGUCUGGAGAGGAGCCUGCGGCAGAUUAGCUUGUUGGAGGGUAAUGGCCUACCAAGGCUGCGAUCUGUAGCUGGUCUGAGAGGACGGCCAGCCACACUGGCACUGACACACGGGCCAGACUCCUACGGGAGGCAGCAGUGGGGAAUUUUGGGCAAUGGGCGAAAGCCUGACCCAGCAACGCCGCGUGAAGGAGGAAAUCCUUCGGGAUGUAAACUUCACAAGCAAGGGAAGAGCGCGCAGGGUCGAAUAAACUCUGCGUCCGACGGUACCUUGCGUAAGCCACGGCUAACUACGUGCCA
rnacentral:rRNA from 1 species